AAAACAACUCUCAGCAACGGAUAUCUUGGCUCUUGCAACGAUGAAGAACGCAGCGAAAUGCGAUACGUAUUGUGAAUUGCAGAAUUCCGCGAAUCAUCGAGUCUUUGAACGCAAGUUGCGCCCGAGGCUUGACCAAGGGCAUCUCUGCCAGAGCGUCAC
rnacentral:rRNA from 1 species